rnacentral:lncRNA from 1 species
CCUCUUCCAUCUUUGUGCCGUCGCCGCCAUUCGCCGCUACCUCCUUCGCCACGUUAAUGCCCGACUAACGUUGCCCUUGCAGUCACCAAAGAUAUUGAUCUCUCAUAUUCACGUUGUCGUGCCUAGGGUUUAGAGCGAUUCUAAAACGGCGGUACAACGGCGGCAUCGACAUCUUUAUUCAUUGAUCCACAAGGUAUUUUGACCAUAUCAUGAAUCCCAUCACCAUUUGACCUCAGAUCUGAUCUAUGUGGAUUUAGAUUUUGGGAUUGGCGUGAUGGAAGAAUCAGUAUUUUCCAGAAGGUGAUUUGUUGAGUUGCAUGAAGGGUGAUGCAUGGAGAGUCAUUAUAAUUGGUUUUGUGUUAAUAAUUCUUAUUCUUCUUUUGAUGCUUUGAUGUUGUUAAUUGAUGAACACUUUAACUUUUUUGAUUUAAAUACGUAGUUGAUUAGAAGCUAACUUAGGAACAGUUUAAUAGUUGAUUUUGAUAUGUUAUAGUUG